GCCUGCCCCGGGACCUGGCAGUACCCUGAGGGGCGGCGGGACGGGAGCUGGGAACCGCUCCUGCCCCUUCCUUCCCGCCUGCCCCGGGACCUGGCAGUACCCUGAGGGGCGGCGGGACGGGAGCUGCCACUGUCAAUGCCAGGGGCCGGGACCCGCUCUUGCCCCUUCCUACGUGUCCCGUGUUCUGGAAACGACCCGACAGCCUCGGCCGUAUCCCAGCCUGUCGCUAGGGAAAUAGAAACCCAACAGUGGGACCAGGUGGAGAGGGAGGGAGAAAGGGGCCUCUGGCGGAUGUAAAGCCCUCAGCAAACAGUCCUGGAAGUACAUUUGAGAUUCUCUCAAAUACCAGCUGAAUUUAUGACCCUUAGUGAAGAGCAGGGAGGAAUCUUUUCAAAAUACUUUCCAGCUGGCAGCACUUUAUAUAGACCCUUGUAACUGAAUAAAAGGAACCCCUGGAGGGGCAGGUGCCACCCUGUGGAAGGACAAAUCCCUCUGAAGUGCCUAUGGUCUUGCCUAGUGAAAAAGGAGAUGCCAGAAAUAAUGUCUCCCCACCAGAAGAAGGCAGUGCAGGCUUGGUCCUCUCAAGUUUUCCACCAAACCUGAUCAAGUGAGGAAGAUGGUGGGUGCCGGACAGCCCCUUGGUGGCUGACUUGGAGGCUGUCACCUGCCUAAGAGUUGCAGUGGUGAAGAGACUUCUAUGAAACAUUUGCCUCCUCAGCUACUUGUCUAACUCCAGUUGCACAGAGGAUUCCCCAGUAGACAUCAGCUGGGAAACCUUCAGAAGCAAAAGAUGUUUCUUGGAUGGAUGAGCCCACCAAAACCAAAAGAGCUGAGACUUAGUUUGAACAGAGUUUUCACUCUGGGAUAUGCCAAUACAAGAGGAGCUCAGCACCCAAAACUAACAGCAUUUCAGGAACAAUAAGAUCAGUGAAAUACUGCCAGCCUGUGACAGUCAAACAAGUCUGUGGAUGCCGAAUUGGACAGCCAAACACAUUCUGCCAGUAUGCCUGGAGCAUACGCCUACCAGACAAAUACAACCAACCCGCCAGUAAAACAGUUGCUAAAAACAUACCCACGUGUAUAGUUCAGGCCAUCCCGCCAUGUAAGAGUGAGGGCUAGGACUCAAUUUUCAGUUUAAUAGAGAUUCAGCCAUCAAAAAACCACUGGAGUCUUUUCACAAGCAAACACAUUCCCCAGCACUGGUGGCUGAAGAACGAAACAGUGCUGACUCAACACAACCCAAAAUGCUGUUUGUCUUAUGGGGACUGCCCAAAGGCACCCACUGUGGUUAGGAUGUAGUUGUGCUGGGCACUGCACAGAAAGACAAGCAGACACAAUAUCCUGCCCUUGAGGCUUGAAUCUCUGAAUCUUUUGAAUCUCUCUCAAAGCCCUUCUGGCAAUAUGAAACAGAAGAUGCAGGCAGAACUGGGGAACAACGACAAAAAUCCACCAUUGCAGCACCCCAGUGCUUGGCACAGCUUGGUGGUUUCAUGCCAUCACAGGUUUGAGCAGAGCACGAUGUACAGCUCACACUGGUAUUUCAGACAUACAUAGGGGCACUUUCCCCCAGCCUCUAUGCUUGAAAAAUACACUGCACAUCAAUGCUUGCCCAUUACAAUUGCUGCCUAUGCAAGUCUUCUAUAUAUUUAUAAAUGUGUGUGUAUAAAAAUAGAAUAAAACAAAUAUAUAUCAGUGACCCCUACUGGUCAUUUCUAGCUAGCCACAAAAUUGUGCAGCAGCAGUGAGCUCUUGCCUGUUGCCGAGGUGCAGUAUUUCGAUGUGAGGCACAGAGUGCAGAGCCUGGCAGUGGUGUAUUCGUGUUCUUUGCACUCACUUUGUGCUGGCUGCAUCACUCCUGGGGGCAGGCAGCUGAAAUCGGGAUUUUCUGACCUCAAGUAUUUGUUUGUGGCAUCCCACUCAUUUCUCUGCUCACCGCCAGCUCCACGCCACAAUCCCAGCUCUUGCACUGAGCCCUUUGCAGGUGCCUCCAACUCUUACUCUGCACAGUUGCAGGGCUCUGCAAGAGACCAGGUAUUGGGCUGUGACUUUAUACAGGGUAUUUUUUCCAGAAGAAUUCAGUUCCCAGCUGGGACCCACACCACAGAUACCACUGCUCUUCGAGGUCAGAUCCCUACAGAAGGAGCUGCCCCAGCACUGCACAGUUUCUCCUCCCAGCAGCCUCACCUUAGCCCCACCAAAGCUCACUGUAAAUUCUUCACCCCACUGGGAGCUAAAUCCAGCAUGAGUACUGCUGUGCAGCAGAGACUGAAGGGCCCUCCUGGCCAGUGAUUUACCUUGGUGAAGGAGUGGAGAGAAUGUGCCUGACAGGCAGGAUGGCUGCUCCAAUGCAAGGCAAAACCCCAUGGAAAGCAAAGGCUGGAGUCACUCUGGCAGCCUCAGACCAAGACUCAAGGGGCUCUGCCUCCCUUCCCUUUCGUCAAAACUUGUUUAGCUUGUCAUGCUAAUAAAGUGUUUGAAAUGAA